AGAGUUUGAUCAUGGCUCAGAUUGAACGCUGGCGGAAUGCUUUACACAUGCAAGUCGAACGGCAGCACGGACUUCGGUCUGGUGGCGAGUGGCGAACGGGUGAGUAAUAUAUCGGAACGUAUCCAAUAAUGGGGGAUAACUAAUCGAAAGGUUGGCUAAUACCGCAUACGCCCUACGGGGGAAAGCUAGGGACCUUCGGGCCUGGCGUUAAUGGAGCGGCUGAUAUCUGAUUAGCUAGUAGGUGAGGUAAAAGCUCACCUAGGCGACGAUCAGUAGCUGGUCUGAGAGGACGACCAGCCACACUGGAACUGAGACACGGUCCAGACUCCUACGGGAGGCAGCAGUGGGGAAUUUUGGACAAUGGGCGAAAGCCUGAUCCAGCCAUUCCGCGUGAGUGAAGAAGGCCUUCGGGUUGUAAAGCUCUUUCGCAAGGGAAGAAAACUUAGUCUCUAACAUAGACUGAGGUUGACGGUACCUUGAUAAGAAGCACCGGCUAACUACGUGCCAGCAGCCGCGGUAAUACGUAGGGUGCGAGCGUUAAUCGGAAUUACUGGGCGUAAAGCGUGCGCAGGCGGUUUUGUAAGUCAGAUGUGAAAUCCCCGAGCUCAACUUGGGAACUGCGUUUGAAACUACAAGACUAGAAUAUGUCAGAGGGGGGUAGAAUUCCACGUGUAGCAGUGAAAUGCGUAGAGAUGUGGAGGAAUACCAAUGGCGAAGGCAGCCCCCUGGGAUAAUAUUGACGCUCAUGCACGAAAGCGUGGGGAGCAAACAGGAUUAGAUACCCUGGUAGUCCACGCCCUAAACGAUGUCUACUAGUUGUUGGUGGAGUAAAAUCCAUGAGUAACGCAGCUAACGCGUGAAGUAGACCGCCUGGGGAGUACGGUCGCAAGAUUAAAACUCAAAUGAAUUGACGG
rnacentral:rRNA from 1 species